rnacentral:rRNA from 1 species
GCACCUUCGGGUGUGAGUAAAGUGGCGAACGGGUGAGUAACACGCGAGUAAUCUACCUCUGAGCGGGGGACAACGUGUCGAAAGACGCGCUAAUACCGCAUAAGACCACAUCCGCCUAGGCGGAAGGGGUCAAAGAUGCCCUCUCCAUGGAAGGUAUCACUUAGAGAUGAGCUCACGGCCCAUCAGCUUGUUGGUAGGGUAACGGCCUACCAAGGCUAAGACGGGUAGCUGGUCUGAGAGGAUGAUCAGCCACACUGGGACUGAGACACGGCCCAGACUCCUACGGGAGGCAGCAGUGGGGAAUAUUGGACAAUGGGGGCAACCCUGAUCCAGCCACGCCGCGUGAGUGAUGAAGGUUUUCGGAUCGUAAAACUCUGUCUUGAGGGAAGAACCGCUUGGAUUCAAAUAGGGUCCAGGUCUGACGGUACCUCAGGAGGAAGCACCGGCUAACUCCGUGCCAGCAGCCGCGGUAAAACGGAGGGUGCAAACGUUGCUCGGAAUUACUGGGCGUAAAGCGCAUGUAGGCGGACUAAUAAGUCUCGUGUGAAAGUCCUGGGCUC